GUUUAAUACCAGCUACCUUGUUCUACAAGCUAUGACCAUGUGGGGGAAUGACAGACGAAUGAAAUUUGUUGGGGAUGCAAAGAUUCUUCGAAGGAACUUUGUGAUUGAUCUGUUAAGUUAUGAGGACAAUUCGUGCCGAUAUGCCAUCCCUG